rnacentral:lncRNA from 1 species
GAGUUCGGAUGGCAUUGUGGAGGUUCGUCCGCUAGAGGAGUCUUGAGGACACUGCGGAAGGUUGAACGUUGGAGGAGUCCGGGAUAUGGUUUUGCUGUAGAAGUUUGGACGGAGUCCAGCUCUCGUAGGAGUCCGAAAAGAGGUCGCUUGUUGUAGAGGCUCGGUCGAAGAUCAGUUGUUGUAGAAGCUUGGAUGGAGACUUCUUAUUGUAGAAGUCCCACUGCUGGAGAAGCUCGGUCAUUGAUGAGGUCCGGAAGAAGUUCGGAGUAGAGAUCCGGUGGAGCCUAUCCAUCGUAGAAGUUCGUCUGAGAUCCGGCUCUUGUAGGAGCUCGGGUGAAAUUAGCUCGGAUGAAAUCCGGAAGGCGGUCGACCGUCGUAGAAACUUGGAGGGAGUCUAGUUAUUGUAGAAGUCCUGCUAUUGGAGAAGCUCGGACGUCGACGAAGCCCAGAAGAAGUUUGGAGUAAAGUCGUUCGUGGCCGGAAGAAGUUUAGGCUGAGAUUUGGAGAAUAGUCGAUCACUGUAGAAAAUCAGCUGAUAGUGAAGCUCAGAGAGCGUUUGGAGUAGUCCGGUAGGUGAAUGGAGGAGCCCAUUAUCGGAGAAGUCCGGAUGGUAUUGUGGAAGCUCGGACGAUCGGGAGAGUUCAGAAAGAUGCCACACAAU